rnacentral:rRNA from 1 species
GAUGAACGCUAGCUACAGGCUUAACACAUGCAAGUCGCGGGGCAGCAUGAACUUGGCUUGCCAGGUUUUGAUGGCGACCGGCGCACGGGUGAGUAACGCGUAUCGAACCUGCCCCAUACCCGGGGAUAGCCUUGCGAAAGUAAGAUUUAAUACCCGAUGGUUUUCCUUUUAUCUCCCGAUAGAGGGAAUAAAGAAUUUUCGGUAUGGGAUGGCGAUGCGUCCGAUUAGCUAGUUGGCGGGGUAACGGCCCACCAAGGCGACGAUCGGUAGGGGUUCUGAGAGGAGGGUCCCCCACAUUGGAACUGAGACACGGUCCAAACUCCUAC